rnacentral:rRNA from 1 species
GAUGAACGCUGGCGGCGUGCCUAAUACAUGCAAGUCGAGCGAACAGACGAGGAGCUUGCUCCUCUGACGUUAGCGGCGGACGGGUGAGUAACACGUGGAUAACCUACCUAUAAGACUGGGAUAACUUCGGGAAACCGGAGCUAAUACCGGAUAAUAUAUUGAACCGCAUGGUUCAAUAGUGAAAGACGGUUUUGCUGUCACUUAUAGAUGGAUCCGCGCCGCAUUAGCUAGUUGGUAAGGUAACGGCUUACCAAGGCAACGAUGCGUAGCCGACCUGAGAGGGUGAUCGGCAACACUGGAACUGAGACACGGUCCAGACUCCUACGGGAGGCAGCAGUAGGGAAUCUUCCGCAAUGGGCGAAAGCCUGACGGAGCAACGCCGCGUGAGUGAUGAAGGUCUUCGGAUCGUAAAACUCUGUUAUUAGGGAAGAACAAAUGUGUAAGUAACUAUGCACGUCUUGACGGUACCUAAGCAGAAAGCCACGGCUAACUACGU